ACAACGAAGAGUUUGAUCCUGGCUCAGGAUGAACGCUAGCGACAGGCUUAACACAUGCAAGUCGAGGGGCAGCACAGGUAGCAAUACCGGGUGGCGACCGGCGCACGGGUGAGUAACGCGUAUGCAACUUGCCUAUCAGAGGGGGAUAACCCGGCGAAAGUCGGACUAAUACCGCAUGAAGCAGGGAUCCCGCAUGGGAAUAUUUGCUAAAGAUUCAUCGCUGAUAGAUAGGCAUGCGUUCCAUUAGGCAGUUGGCGGGGUAACGGCCCACCAAACCGACGAUGGAUAGGGGUUCUGAGAGGAAGGUCCCCCACAUUGGUACUGAGACACGGACCAAACUCCUACGGGAGGCAGCAGUGAGGAAUAUUGGUCAAUGGCCGAGAGGCUGAACCAGCCAAGUCGCGUGAGGGAUGAAGGUUCUAUGGAUCGUAAACCUCUUUUAUAAGGGAAUAAAGUGCGGGACGUGUCCCGUUUUGUAUGUACCUUAUGAAUAAGGAUCGGCUAACUCCGUGCCAGCAGCCGCGGUAAUACGGAGGAUCCGAGCGUUAUCCGGAUUUAUUGGGUUUAAAGGGUGCGUAGGCGGCCUUUUAAGUCAGCGGUGAAAGUCUGUGGCUCAACCAUAGAAUUGCCGUUGAAACUGGGGGGCUUGAGUAUGUUUGAGGCAGGCGGAAUGCGUGGUGUAGCGGUGAAAUGCAUAGAUAUCACGCAGAACCCCGAUUGCGAAGGCAGCCUGCCAAGCCAUUACUGACGCUGAUGCACGAAAGCGUGGGGAUCAAACAGGAUUAGAUACCCUGGUAGUCCACGCAGUAAACGAUGAUCACUAGCUGUUUGCGAUACACUGUAAGCGGCACAGCGAAAGCGUUAAGUGAUCCACCUGGGGAGUACGCCGGCAACGGUGAAACUCAAAGGAAUUGACGGGGGCCCGCACAAGCGGAGGAACAUGUGGUUUAAUUCGAUGAUACGCGAGGAACCUUACCCGGGUUUGAACGCAUUCGGACCGAGGUGGAAACACCUUUUCUAGCAAUAGCCGUUUGCGAGGUGCUGCAUGGUUGUCGUCAGCUCGUGCCGUGAGGUGUCGGCUUAAGUGCCAUAACGAGCGCAACCCUUGCCACUAGUUACUAACAGGUAAAGCUGAGGACUCUGGUGGGACUGCCAGCGUAAGUUGCGAGGAAGGCGGGGAUGACGUCAAAUCAGCACGGCCCUUACAUCCGGGGCGACACACGUGUUACAAUGGCGUGGACAAAGGGAAGCCACCUGGCGACAGGGAGCGAAUCCCCAAACCACGUCUCAGUUCGGAUCGGAGUCUGCAACCCGACUCCGUGAAGCUGGAUUCGCUAGUAAUCGCGCAUCAGCCAUGGCGCGGUGAAUACGUUCCCGGGCCUUGUACACACCGCCCGUCAAGCCAUGGGAGCCGGGGGUACCUGAAGUCCGUAACCGCGAGGAUCGGCCUAGGGUAAAACUGGUGACUGGGGCUAAGUCGUAACAAGGUAGCCGUACCGGAAGGUGCGGCUGGAACACCUCCUUU
rnacentral:rRNA from 1 species